UGGCAGUAGUAGAAAAAAAGAAGUAAACAUAACCAUAUUCUUACAUCUUAGGAUAUGAAAUAUUCGAUGUUAUCAAUACAAAUACUCAGAUACUUGUAGCUCAACAACAGCAAGAGUACGAGGACGCAAAGCUCGAUCCCCUACCAAAGUGCUUUACCAAGCAAGAUCAUAUUCGAUAAAAGCAUCUACACAAACACUAACAGUGAUAUCACACAGAAAACAUUGCCACGCGAUGGAAUUCCAAUUAUAGGCAGUGAGCAGAUCCUUUCUCCAAUUCCAGGUCCGAAUCAGCUCUCAAAUGGUGAAUUCUCGAUUCUGCUAGAACAGCAUAAUUCAAAAACAACAUGAGAGAUAGAGAGAGAGGUGGAAGGCUCGUAUUCAACUCACCACGGGUGCAAACAUCUUAAGUUCUAAUGCCUGCUCCGGUGUUCCCCCUAUCAUUCUCCGACCUCCUCCCACUGGACCUGGAACCAUCAUAUCGGCCACCUCUCUUGGAGGCAUCCACUUUACUGUCUGUAUGGUAAUCUCUAUAUCCUUGCUGCUCAUCCUCUCUCCGAGUAUUCUUCUGUUCCCCAGAAUGUUUUCCCCACCUUUCAUAAUUUUCUCCAGAAGCUACAUUUUCUCGCCCUUCCUCCCUUGCAUCAUAUCUCCUACUUUUAGAAGGUCGCUCAUCCUCUCUCCGAGGGUUCUUCUGUUCCCCGGAAUGUUUUCCCUGCCUUUCAUUAUUUUCUCCAGAAGCUACAUUUUCUCGCCCUUCCUCCUCCCUUGCAUCAUAUCUCCUACUUUU